UAAAAGGGUCGGUUGGCUAAAUAUGCCACGCCCGCCCUCUGAUGGUGGGUGCUGUAUGGCUAUCCAGACAUAUGGCCGACAUAAUUUGUGGGACCCUAUAGGGUUGGCCCGCCUUGGCCGACCCUUCC
rfam:Punica granatum cultivar Dabenzi scaffold232, whole genome shotgun sequence.